rnacentral:tRNA from 2 species
GGAGAGGUGUCCGAGUCUGGCUUAAGGAGCACGCUUGGAAGGCGUGUGUACAGCAAUGUACCGAGGGUUCAAAUCCCUCCCUCUCCG